UACGAAGGGUGCAAACGUUGCUCGGAAUUAUUGGGCGUAAAGCGCACGUAGGCGGCAUUGCACGUCGGAUGUGAAAUCUUAUGGCUUAACCAUAAAAGUGCAUCCGAAACUGCAGUGCUUGAGUACUUAAGAGGAUCGCGGAAUUCCCGGUGUAGAGGUGAAAUUCGUAGAUAUCGGGAGGAACACCAGUGGCGAAGGCGGCGAUCUGGGAAGAUACUGACGCUGAGGUGCGAAAGCGUGGGGAGCAAACAGG
rnacentral:rRNA from 1 species